GACGAACGCUGGCGGCGUGCCUAAUACAUGCAAGUAGAACGCUGAAGAGAGGAGCUUGCUCUUCUUGGAUGAGUUGCGAACGGGUGAGUAACGCGUAGGUAACCUGCCUUGUAGCGGGGGAUAACUAUUGGAAACGAUAGCUAAUACCGCAUAACAAUGGAUGACACAUGUCAUUUAUUUGAAAGGGGCAAUUGCUCCACUACAAGAUGGACCUGCGUUGUAUUAGCUAGUAGGUGAGGUAAUGGCUCACCUAGGCGACGAUACAUAGCCGACCUGAGAGGGUGAUCGGCCACACUGGGACUGAGACACGGCCCAGACUCCUAAGGGAGGGAGCAGGAGGGAAUCUUCGGCAAUGGGGGCAACCCUGACCGAGCAACGCCGCGGGAGUGAAGAAGGGUUUCGGAUCGGAAAGCUCUGUUGUAAGUCAAGAACGGGUGUGAGAGUGGAAAGUUCACACUGUGACGGUAGCUUAACAGAAAGGGACGGCUAACUACGUG
rnacentral:rRNA from 1 species